rnacentral:rRNA from 1 species
UACGGAGGAUCCAAGCGUUAUCCGGAUUUAUUGGGUUUAAAGGGUGCGUAGGCGGCCAAUUAAGUCAGGGGUGAAAGACGGUAGCUUAACUAUCGCAGUGCCUUUGAUACUGAUUGGCUUGAAUCCACUUGAGGUAGGCGGAAUGUGACAAGUAGCGGUGAAAUGCAUAGAUAUGUCACAGAACACCAAUUGCGAAGGCAGCUUACUAAAGUGGCAUUGAAGCUGAGGCACGAAAGCGUGGGGAUCAAACA